CAGGGAGACAACAAAAUGUUUAAUAUUAUUAUUUUGUCACCUUAGGUCGAUCGGUAUCUCACGUUUUUAAUUUAUUAAGAAUUUCAUUUCCUAAGUUUUUCUAGGUCACACCCAUUAUUUUUCCUGGGCCAUUAGCUCAGGUGGUUAGAGCGCACCCCUGAUAAGGGUGAGGUCCCCGGUUCAAGUCCAGGAUGGCCCAUAUCUCUAUGUUGGGGGUAUAGCUCAGUUGGUAGAGCGCCUGCUUUGCAAGCAGGAUGUCAGCGGUUCGAGUCCGCUUACCUCCACUGAUCACCACCUCUUCCAUAAUCGGUAGAAAGGAAAUUUUUUGAGUUGUGAUCAAAUUCUGAAAGAAUCUAGCUUCCUAAUGAAAUCAUUAAGAUGCUGGACUCAUUGAAUUAAUUUCAUUGUUUUCAGAGAACCUUGACAACUGCAUAGAUUAUUUUUAAAGACAAUAAGCAUCUUUAAUGAUGCAGAUUUAUUAUUUGUGCAAAUGCAUUAAUAACAAUUCUAUUAAGCUGAUGCUUCAAUUUUUGAAGUUAUU
rnacentral:tRNA from 1 species